rnacentral:rRNA from 1 species
UACGUAGGGGGCAAGCGUUGUCCGGAUUUAUUGGGCGUAAAGAGCGUGUAGGCGGCCAGGUAGGUCAGCUGUGAAAACUCGAGGCUUAACCUCGAGACGCCGGCUGAAACCCUCUGGCUAGAGUCCGGAAGAGGAGAGCGGAAUUCAUGGUGUAGCGGUGAAAUGCGCAGAUAUCAGGAAGAACACCCGUGGCGAAGGCGGCUCUCUGGGACGGUACUGACGCUGAGACGCGAAAGCGUGGGGAGCAAACAGG